rnacentral:rRNA from 1 species
CCUACGGGGGGCAGCAGUGGGGAAUAUUGCACAAUGGGCGCAAGCCUGAUGCAGCAACGCCGCGUGCGGGAUGACGGCCUUCGGGUUGUAAACCGCUUUUAGUAGGGAAGAAGGGCUUCGGCUUGACGGUACCUGCAGAAAAAGGACCGGCUAACUACGUGCCAGCAGCCGCGGUAAUACGUAGGGUCCGAGCGUUGUCCGGAAUUAUUGGGCGUAAAGAGCUCGUAGGCGGUUUGUCGCGUCUGCUGUGAAAACUAGAGGCUCAACCUCUAGCCUGCAGUGGGUACGGGCAGACUUGAGUGGUGUAGGGGAGACUGGAAUUCCUGGUGUAGCGGUGGAAUGCGCAGAUAUCAGGAGGAACACCGAUGGCGAAGGCAGGUCUCUGGGCACUUACUGACGCUGAGGAGCGAAAGCGUGGGGAGCGAACAGGAUUAGAUAC